CAGAAUUGGAUUUUACAGUAAAGUGCAUUCCACCAAAUUACUAUUAUAGAUAUUUAUACAUAUCUGGUGGAGGCUCACAGUUACUACUCUAAGCAGCAGAUGAAAGCAUACAAAAGCCUUCAGGCACAUAAAUAAUUUACAGCUGGUUUUGUUUUGAAAGCUGGAGUAAAAAUUCUUAAUGAUUUCUAUAUUAUUGUUCAAAAGAUGAAGGGUUCCCAAAAAGCUAUUGCUAAAUCACUAAAUGUUUGGGUGGGGUGAUAGCCAGUUAUGAUGACAGCAAAUGUACAAUGUAUGUGUAUGGCCGGUAAUAGUGAAGUUUGCAGCCGAGUAUGCCCAAAAGAAGAUAGAAGAAGAAGAACCCAAUGCAUGUACAGAAGUUAGUGAGCUCGCUCACCAAAGCACUAUCCUACAUCACAUAUGGCAUGAAUUGCGAAAAGAUAUGCACUGAGUGGUCACUCGAAAGUCACCGAAAACCAGAUGUGACACUCAGUGCGUAUCUUUUCACAAUGCAUGCCACAUGUGAUGUACUAUAUUGCUUUGGUGUGCGAGCUCCCUUACAGCUACACGGUUUGGAGAUAGCAACAUGUGCAUUAUCUGAUGGAAAAACUAAUGAGUCUUGAAACUGUUUGGUCAGAGUGCUUAUUGUGCUCUCUAAAUGAACUGAAAUAUAAUAAGACGGCUUUGGCUUCGUGAUGCAGCGAUAUGAAAAUGGUUAUUCAUUUUUAAUUAUAAUGUACUUAUUCAUCAUGAGUAAUUAUGUAUUGGUCUUUUAAGUGUGUAUUUAUUUUAGUAAUUAGUAUCAACUUGUAAUGAUAAUACACAUUUAUUUAUAAGGUAUGACUAUGUUCCGAGUCUAAAAUAAAUGUUUUAAAAAUCGAA
rnacentral:lncRNA from 1 species